UAGACAAAGCAUCUAUGGGAACGUUCUUCCACCCCUGAGAAAAAACAUCACUUGGAGGGAGGGUUAGGGUAUAGAUUGGGUUGAGGUAGCAAGAGAUGGGGGAUACAACAGAAAUUCUGUUAGAGAAGCUGAGACAAAUAACCAAUACCCCGCUUGGCCUCUUGGCUGCUUCGAGCCAUCUGCUGGGAGCUGAGAAGAACUUCAGGAAGAGUGACUGUACAACACAACGUGGAGACACCUGCAUCCAUCGCAUACUAUGGGUGGUUGAACUUAUUGGUUCACAGAUAAUCAUCCAGCCUCUGCAUAAAAUACGUUGUAUGAAAUCACCUGCACCGGACAAAAAGUAAAUAUUUUUCCUGGAAAUCACCAUGAGGGUCAUUGCACAAUUUGGAACCUGGCAAGAGUAUCUACAGGAAGAAAUACCUCUGCAAAUCUGCCUUAGAAACAAGUGUCUGGAUCCUUUUGGAGGAGAGCUUCGGUGCCAGAUUUAAGACAAAACUGGAAGUUUAAAUCCAAGUCUUCCUUGUUUCAGGGCCUUAUAAAAUUACUGGUUAUAAUAUUUCAGUCUAUGGCUGGGAACACCUUAAGGGUCCCACAAAGAUGCUACAUUGGAGAUCUAAAUUACUCCUGUGAAGUGAUAUAAAAACAAUAACAAGCAUGUAUGCAGCACUUUAAAAAUGAGGAGGACCAGGUACAUCAAUUGAUACAAUUUUUUUUAGAUACUUGAAAUUCAAAAAAAGAUUAGGUAUUUGUACUUGAUACUUCAUGAUUUUUCUUCUAUGUCUUUGUUAUCAAUAAAAAGACUUUUCAAAUAACAAAAGGAAUAAAUCAUGUGGUUUUAUCAAUAAGGACCAGAUGCAUCAAAUGAGGCAUAUGCUUAAACACUUUGAAUUUUUGUUGCAAAUAUGAUAAAAUGUUCCAGCAUUUAUUACUUUGGGGUUACUUCUUUGCCUAUAU